CAAAAAUAAGUGAAGAAGAUUUUGCAAGGUGCGGCCGCGCCGUCGAGGCCGGAGGCGCCGCGGGAGCAGCGAGGGCCGCAGGCAGAUUCCUCAGGACAAAUUUCUUCUGCAAGUCCUUUCAGAGGAGAUCUACCAGUGAAAUGUCCACAAUAACAGAUUGAAAAGGAUGAUAAAAUAAAAUGGCAAGGACUAUGUGGAACCAAACAGCACCUACUUGCUGUUUUCUUGUAGAAAACCCUUGCACUGCUCAACAUAUCUACGCUAUUCC